rnacentral:rRNA from 1 species
GAUGAACGCUGGCGGCGUGCCUAAUACAUGCAAGUCGAGCGAACAGACGAGGAGCUUGCUCCUUUGACGUUAGCGGCGGACGGGUGAGUAACACGUGGAUAACCUACCUAUAAGACUGGGAUAACUUCGGGAAACCGGAGCUAAUACCGGAUAAUAUAUUGAACCGCAUGGUUCAAUAGUGAAAGACGGUUUUGCUGUUUCUUAUAGAUGGAUCCGCGCCGCAUUAGCUAGUUGGUAAGGUAACGGCUUACCAAGGCAACGAUGCGUAGCCGACCUGAGAGGGUGAUCGGCCACACUGGAACUGAGACACGGUCCAGACUCCUACGGGAGGCAGCAGUAGGGAAUCUUCCGCAAUGGGCGAAAGCUUGACGGAGCAACGCCGCGUGAGUGAUGAAGGUCUUCGGAUCGUAAAACUCUGUUAUUAGGGAAGAACAAAUGUGUAAGUAACUAUGCACGUCUUGACGGUACCUAAUCAGAAAGCCACGGCUAACUACGUG